GGGGAUUUAGCUCAGUGGCAUAAGCACCUGCCUUGUAAGCAGGCGGUCGUGAGUUCGAUCCCUGGUACCCA
rnacentral:tRNA from 1 species